rnacentral:lncRNA from 9 species
GGGAACUUCAGGGGUUUCUUAAUCAAUGAAUACAGUCAGUCCUCAGUAUUUGCCAGUUCAUAUUCACAUCCGCAGAUUCGAAAUUUCCAUCCACAGUGUUGAAUCCGCUGAUGCAAAACCGCGCAUAGAGUUCGGACUAUGAGAUUUGAGCAUGCGCAGAGUUUAGUGCCAGAGCUUUCUGGAUCUAAUCCCCCGCCUUUACCUGAGGCGACUGUAACGGAAAACCGUUGUUUAGCAAAUAUUUCAUUAUCCAUUCUCUUGACCCCUCGCAAUAAGUUAUUGUGCGGAAAACAUGGACGUUGAUAAAGUUGGGUUUGUGGCCGUCAGCCUCCCAAAUAGUUCCAGGCCAUGCUCACUUUUGUGGGGGUCCCACCUCACACGGUAGCAGGGAUGGUCUGUGUGACAGAGACGGAGGCAGAAGUGAUGGGGUCGUUUCCACCCGGGCCUGCUUUCUCCUCCGUUGGGCGGGAGCUUGGGCGAGGCCAGCCGCCCUGCGGCCCUGCUGCGGGGAGCAUCAGGUGGAGAGGCCUGGAGGCGAGAAGGCGGAGGUCAGGGCCUACUCUCUUUUCGGCGGAGCCCGCGGCAGCCAUUGCCAGAGCUGGACCCACACAUGUUUUUGGCAAUGAGGAAUGGAACAUGAAGCUGACGGCUAACAGCGCACAGGAUGAGCCCCAGGCGCCUGCUGUACCCCUUGAGUUCACCGUCCCUGUCAUUCCUUCAGGGAGGACUGUGGGUAAGUCACUCCCAAAUUUGAGCUCUAUCUCUUGAGUGAAGUUCUCUGAUACAAACAAGUUUUAUUUAAAACACAAACAAACAAACAGGAGUUCCUGUCAUGGUUUAACGAUGAUGAACUCCGCUGUUAUCCAUGAAGACACGGGUUGGACACCUGGCCUCACUUAGUGGGUUAAGGAUCUAGUGUUGCCAUGAGAUGUGGUGUAGGUUGCAGAUGCAGCUGGGAUCCCUUGCGUUGCUGUGGUGUAGGCCAGCAGCUGUAAGUCGAUUCAACCUCUAGCCUGGGAACUUUGAUAUGUCACUGAUGCAGCCCUAAAAAGCAAAAAUAAAAAAACAAACAAAUUAUAUAUAUAUAUAUAUAUAUAUAUCUCAGAAAGUCUCUGGGAUCAUAGAAGGAUUACUGCAGUGGUAAUACUGGGAGCCCCCUGGGAGUUCCCUGGUGGUCUAAGUGAUUAGGACAGGGCACUUUCACCGUUCUCCUGGGAUUCAAUCCCUGGAUGGGAAACUGAGAUCUCACAUCAGGCUUUGGCCAAAAGAAAAAAAGAGAGAGAGAGUGCGAGAAAGAGCCUCCCAAAGUAGCAGCCAUUGAGGGACUCAGCAAAGUCUCAAGGUGUGUCAACAGCAUAAACUGCUGGAGGACUUGGGAAAAUAAAUUAGGACAAGAAAUUCAAACUGUUUUGACCAUCAAAAUCCAAAAUUUAGCAGAAAAGCAUUGCUUCUCAACACUUGUUUCCAUUCCCCCACACCCCAGGAUGCCUCACAUAGCUUAUACACCCACCAGUGGCAUUUGUAUCCAACCACUUGUGGUCAGACACCUUGAAGUUGCCCUGAAUUUAUUCUUUCUGUCGCAGAUACCCCACAUCCAGUCUGUAGCCACUGUUGGGUGGACAAAUCCUUUUAGAAGCUUAUACAAUCAUCAUUCAGCUCUGCUCUAACACUUCCAGUGGCUUCCUCUCUCACUUGGAAUAAAGCCAAAGUAUUUAUCAUGAGCCAUAGACCCUAUGCCAUCUGACCUCUCACUUCCCUUCCCCUUCACUAUUUUCCUUGUUUGUUCCACCACAACCACAAUGGAAUCUGCUACUUACUCAACAUUCCAGACACGCAUCCACUUUUAGGGCUAACUCCCUCACCAACCUCGCAUCUUUCCUUGUUGUCAACUUUUCAGAGGCCAUCCCUGACUAUUCAUUCAUUCCAUGUAUGUUUAUUGAGCACCUAUUCUGUGUCACACAGUAUUCUAAAAUCUUGGAAUACAGUAGUGAAUCAAAUACACAAAAAUUCCUGCCCUCAUGGAGUAAGAGGCUGCAGAUAAUAAGCAAUGUGCAAAAUAAGGACAUAAAUUCAGCCUUAAAUCUUCUAGAAAAGGAAAGAAAAAGUAGGAUUUUUUUAACAGGAUCAAAAAUGACAUGUUUCAGUGAUCAAGGCAGCCAUCACUAAGAAGAUGAUAUUUAAGAGAAGACUUGAGGAAGGAGUGGGAAUUAGCUACUCAGGCAUUUUGAAAACCCUUCACAUCCUGCCAUACUUCCUCUCCUUUCUGACUUUUUUUCACCAUUGUAAUAUACUAGAAACUUUACAAAUAAAUGAGGUGAUUUUAUUAACAUAUCUUCCAUAAUGAAAUAAUGGAAUAAAAUUAGCUUUUGAGAAGCCUCUGAGAGAAGCCUUCCUUAUUUGAAUGUGUGUAAAAUGUUGCUUGAAAAAAAUAUGAUCUUUUAGAGAGGAUAGACUGGCAAAAACCAAGUAUCAAAUAGACUUUAGGGAACCUGCUGCUUUUGAUAUGAAAUCCUGUUGGACUUGGUGUAGGAAAUCAAUCAAUACAAAUACCUGAUAGUAUGUAAGAAUGUUUCAUGACAUUCAAGAAAGGAUUCUCCUUUCUCUCUCGAGUUUUGUCACAUGGAACAGAAAAAACAAUUUCUUCCUUAUGUAAAGAGACCAAAGAAGAUUGAGUGCUUACAUACUGAAAGGGGAGUACAUUUUUUUAAAGCCACCAAAAGCCUGUGGCAAAGGAAGAAGGGCUGUAGGGUUUUUAUCACUCUUAGAACUAGUUCGAUGAAAGGGAAUCCACAUUCCCUGGAUAAGCCAAGUAAGUCAAAGUGAGUUAAAUAUAAACUGAGGAUAGGUCAGCCUCACAUAAAGCUCCAAUAUAACAACUAAUGAUUAAAGCAAAAUUGAUUUUUCUACACAACAGAAGCCCAAGCUAUUACUAUUUUGGUGAAUGGAUUAUUAAAACUAAACAUUCUGUGAAAUUUUAUGAUCAAUAUUUUUCUUAUCUUUCAUUAGUUUUUUUUUAAAAAGUCCUUGGCCAGAGUUAGCUCUAGGUUAGACCUGUUUCUGAGCCCCCACACCAUGGUAAAGAAUGUUGUCAAACUGAAAUUUGGGGUAUAAAAUUGGAGUUAGUUGGGGGCUGAUGGAUUUGUGCUGCUUCAUCCAGAGUCUUACUAACCAGUAGAUCCCUCUUGUAACCAGUAAUACAGCAUAAGUUUGCAAGACUUGCUUGAUCAUCUGGGGAUCAUAUCUGAGGCCUUGGUCUCGUUAACAUCGUAACUAUCACGAGCUAAUUGGUCACACACCACAGUAACUUACAGCAUGAUUAUGUACAGUAUGCCAGGUAUAAAGUCUAAAAGGGUUUUUUUGUCAAGCAGAUUUUAGUUUAUUUAUCACAUUUAAAAAUGAACAAUAAGGGGUGUGGGGAGAUGCACUGGGGGUUUGGGAUGGAAAUGCUAUAAAAUUUGGUCAUGAUGAUCGUACAACUAUAAAUGUAAUAGAAUUCAUUGAGUAAUACAAAAUGAGCAAUAAUAAGCAGAAUAAUAUAUCAUACUUCUAGACAUUCCUGAAGGAAUGUUUUGUAUUCCUUUUGAAUCCAUACCCCUUUUUUAAUAAAUAUAAAUUUGUCAUGCUUUUUGCAAAUCAUUGCUGUCGUC